UUAGCUAAAUUGGCAGCAAAAUAAAAUUUUAAAAAGCUUGAUUCAACUUCCGGUAGUGAACAGAAAUGACAUGGAUCACAAAAAAUCAAGGACUUUUCCUCUAUCAAAUACAAAUUAAUAUCUCCCCUUCCACUUGUCAUACAAUGAUAAAUUUAGUAUGAUUGGAUAUAUUUUGUUUUUUUCAAGCCCUUUUCAACCAUGUAGGUUUUAUUAGUAUGUUGUGAGUUUGAAUUUUUUAUCGAUUCAUUCCUUCCUUGCCAAACAAGCGGAAUAAUUUUACUAAUUAAGACUGGUGAGAGUGAGUGCACUUAAUGAUAAUGUUAAUGUAAUGUGAAUCAACAACUGAUUGACACCACUUAAAGCAGUGAAGUCUCUUGUGUGCAAUCAGGAGGCUCUCCUGCAAGAUGAUGGCAGCAGUUGUGAUGCGAUUUGUGUGGAAACAAAUUCUUUGUUUAUUACGUACAAUAAAUGAUGAGAGUUUCAUCCAUUGACAGACUUAUCCAUUCGUUAAUGCCGCUUUUCCAUCAUAAUAAAACCACAUGUUAGGUUUGCAAAUGGGUGCCCCAUGUGUUUACUUGAAAGAGUUUGGUUCUACUUGAGAAAUUUCUGAAAAUGUGCAGUUAACAUGAUCCAGGCAUGUAAAAGGUAGUUCAAGUCUUGUAAUAGGUCUAAAGUUGAUCUAUAUUUUAGUUGACUCAUAUGAAUAAAAAUUGUAUUAAGAAGAAUGAUUUUACUUCAAUUGAAAUAGACAGUGAGAGAUCAAUUGAUAAAAAAUACUGAUUUUCAUAAGAAAAGUGGAGCAUGGUCAUAAGAGGCUUAAGGCUAGUAGCGUUAACUUGUAUAUUAGUAUUAUUUUACAGUGAUCAGAGGGUCAUCAUGGAGUUUAUGCAUCUAGAAUUCAUAGUAGAAUCACAUUUAGUAACAGUAUUAAAUAUUGCUAUAAAAAUAAUUAGGGUUUUUUUCAUGUGAUUAUUUAAAUUCUGUUCUUUGAGCUUUGAUGGAAAGCAAAUUAAGCUGCAGUAGAAGUGUUCUUACUUUUUUUUUAAGCUGUAGCGGAAGUCACUGUAUUUGUAAUUUAAACUCAUUGGUCAGCACUUUGGAUCAUUUGAAGCCUGGUGUAGUGCAUCUAAUACCUAAAUGUAGAAAGAUGUUAUAAAAAUCUGGUACAGAUUUAUAAUUGACAAUCAAUUUUAAAUCAAAAUUGCAGAAACCAUUUAUACUAAAAUCAUGUGCUUAUGGAAAUAUAUGUUGUUUAGGUUCUUGUUGAUCUUUAAUUGCAGUGUUACAUCUCAUUAAAUAAAUUAUGAAUGAGUUGGGAGAAAGUGUAUAAAGAAGUUUGUUGUUUUUUUUUUGCAAAGCUUAUGUCAACUCACUCUGUCUGGUUAUUUCUGCCACACCCAUUCUCUGAUCAAGUUAAAAUUUUGCACAGAUAUUCAUAGGGAUAGACAAGACAUGAAUCAAUUUUAAAAAAUUAACCAAUUAUUUAAUUAACUACUGGUAAUCAAUUAUUUUGUUUGAUACUGACAAGGGAAAUUAAUCCUUCAGUAUUCACAUAUAUGGCUAAAUAUUUAGGGUUUGUCCCUCUUAUACAAUUGUUUACAUAAUUUUGCCCACACCCAUUCUAGGAUUAAGUUGAAAUUUUAAUCAAUUAUUUAUGGUGCCUAACAAAACAUCAAUCAGUUAAAAAAAAUAACCUUUGAUCUUUAAAAAAAUAUAAAAAAAAAUAUU